GACGAACGCUGGCGGCGUGCCUAAUACAUGCAAGUAGAACGCUGAAGGAGGAGCUUGCUUCUCUGGAUGAGUUGCGAACGGGUGAGUAACGCGUAGGUAACCUGCCUGGUAGCGGGGGAUAACUAUUGGAAACGAUAGCUAAUACCGCAUAAUAGUAGAUGUUGCAUGACAUUUGCUUAAAAGGUGCAAUUGCAUCACUACCAGAUGGACCUGCGUUGUAUUAGCUAGUUGGUGGGGUAACGGCUCACCAAGGCGACGAUACAUAGCCGACCUGGGAGGGUGAUCGGCCACACUGGGACUGAGACACGGCCCAGACUCCUACGGGAGGCAGCAGUAGGGAAUCUUCGGAAAUGGACGGAAGUCUGACCGAGCAACGCCGCGUGAGUGGAGAAGGUUUUCGGAUCGUAAAGCUCUGUUGUAAGAGAAGAACGAGUGUGAGAGUGGAAAGUUCACACUGUGACGGUAUCUUACCAGAAAGGGACGGCUAACUACGUG
rnacentral:rRNA from 1 species